ACAAUAUUUCCACCGUCCCAUAUUAAGUGUCGAAAUAUUACAUGUAUCUAGAUGUUUUUUAAUAUAUAGAUACGUUCAUUUUUAAAUAAAUUUGAGUCACUUAAUAUGGGACGGAGGGAGUAUAUU
rnacentral:pre_miRNA from 1 species